GAGUUGCCAACAAAUGAUUCUGGUUGUUGUGAAAAGACCAGAAACAUAUUCCAAGAAAUCCAAGAGCUAGAGGAUGAAAUUGCUACCGUAAAGCAAGUACUGGAUGUAGUAAAACAUCAUUAUAAAAUGAGGAUGCAAAUGCUGACAAAAAAGGACAGAUACAUAAUGUAAAGUAUUCCAGAUUUCACAGAAUUCAUUCAUAACCUAAUGCUGAGCCUCAUCCCAAGCAAGACACAGUAUUCAGUGAUCGAACAGAGGCCUGGGAGUUGUACUCAAAAAGCUCCAGUUUUGGGCCCCGAUACGAUGUGUAAAGUAUAUUCUGCAUUUCAUUUAAAAUAAAGUCAAUAAAUUUUUAAUUGCUUCUUCAA